rnacentral:lncRNA from 1 species
UUUGAAGUUUGAAAUUCUCCUAUCUUCUCCAAAUAUUCUCCUAGUUCUUCUCUUUUAGGGUUUAACCCUAUCAAAGUGUUGAUUACCGUGGAGGGUGGACAUAAAGAAUGAAAGACUGGAAAUUGCACCAGCAAGGGAAUCUUGGGGCUGAAAUUAAUGACUCAAUGGAUCAUGAUAUGGCAAUAUAAAGUUCAUAUCUGUAAUUAAUAUCAAAUUGAUAAUAUUUAAACAUCCCAGUUUGAACCGAACCUGUUUUGACCCAUUUGCAGGCUUGUUUUUUAAUACAAUUAUGGUCAUCACACUUAUCAUAAGAGUUUGCGACUACAUGGCUUGUUAGUUCUCCUGCAUUGUUUUUGGGCUUUGACGGGUGGUUCGUGGUUGGUACUGCACAUUCAGCCAAUGUGCUCCCCUAUUUGAGACGGAAGAGGUUUCCUUUCACAACAAAUUUUUACAUGCUAAAGGCUAGAGCACUGGUUGUUCCCGUUGGAUAUUACAUGCAUAUGCAGGCACGAAAUUGAAACAGUGAUACCAAGAAUUCCUCAAAAGAUAGUGUUGUCAUAACUCACAACGGUUUGCUUUCACCGCCAAGUACUCCUUCUGCUGAACCUGAUUAUGAGAAUAAGGAGCUUCUUCCUCUGAUGAUGUGUGCAAUUGAGCGUCACCCGAGUAGCAACACAAGGGAUUCCUUGACUCACACAUUGUUUAACUUGAUUAAGCGUCCAGAUGUUUUGGAAUCAAAUGGUGUAUGAAACCUGUUGUUGUAAACGAAUGGCGGUGACGAAGAAAGAAACAACAAGACAACAACAUCAGUAGAGUGACCGAGUGACUGGUUGUUGUCAUUGUGUUUAAUUUCAUCCGGUUCCUUUUAGAGUUAUAAUUUGCACAAUUCAGGUCUAAAAUUGGCUUCUUUUUAUGCAGAUCGAGUCAUUCUUGCUGAUACUGAUGUACUGUAUAUCGUUCAUGCAGCUGUAGCCUAAUUAACUAGCCAGCUUCAACUGCCACAACUUAACCAACGGACCCUCAGGAUGGGCAUUGGCGCUUGAAACUGCUCCAAGCUCUAAUGGGAGUGUCACAUCUACAAGCAAAUUGGUAAACACUUAUAGCUUGUCAUAGGGUGGCAAAGUUCAUGGCUGUUGUAAUUAAGUAGCACAAUGUGUUUUAAUAUCAAAUGAGAUCAAAAGUGGCAUUGAGUUAAUUAUUUUUGGUAGUAUCUGUUCUAUGU